UACAGAGGUCCCAAGCGUUGUUCGGAUUCACUGGGCGUAAAGGGUGCGCAGGUGGGUUGGCAAGUUUGAUGUGAAAGCCCCGGGCUUAACCCGGGAAUGGCAUUGAAUACUGCUGAUCUGGAGGAUCGGAGGGGGGACUGGAAUUCUUGGUGUAGCAGUGAAAUGCGUAGAUAUCAAGAGGAACACCAGUGGCGAAGGCGAGUCCCUGGACGAUACCUGACACUGAGGCACGAAAGCGUGGGGAGCAAACAGG
rnacentral:rRNA from 1 species